rnacentral:rRNA from 1 species
GGGCCCGCACAAGCGGUGGAGCAUGUGGUUUAAUUCGAUGCAACGCGAAAAACCUUACCAGGCCUUGACAUCCUGAGAAUUCGGUAGAGAUACCUUAGUGCCUUCGGGAACUCAGUGACAGGUGUUGCAUGGCUGUCGUCAGCUCGUGUCGUGAGAUGUUGGGUUAAGUCCCGUAACGAGCGCAACCCUUAUCCUUAUUUGCCAGCACAUUAUGGUGGGAACUUUAAGGAGACUGCCGGUGACAAACCGGAGGAAGGAGAGGAUGAUGUCAAGUCAUCAUGGCCCUUACGGCCUGGGCUACACACGUGCUACAAUGGACAGUACAGAGGGCCGCAAUACCGCGAGGUGGAGCAAAUCCCAAAAAACUGUUCGUAGUCCGGAUCGGAGUCUGCAACUCGACUCCGUG